rnacentral:lncRNA from 1 species
CUUUGCGUCUGGAAAGGCCCAGCUCAUCCAGGAGAGAGUCUGUUGCAACCCCACAAGAGGGCAGCAAGCCAUUACCUUGCACCUUUCUAAAAUGGGAAGCCAGCUGUCACCAGUUCUGGCAGUUUCAACAGUCAAAGCUCUUUCUACUGUUGAAACAGAAUUGGCCUCCUUUAACUUGCACCCACUGGUCCUGAUUUGACUCUUCGCAGCUCUGCAGAAUACAUCUUCCAAAAUUUCAAGACAGUUCCCUUUCACACAGGCUCUCUUGCCC